rnacentral:tRNA from 1 species
GGUGUAGCGGUCUAACAUGCCACCCUGUCACGGUGGAGAUCAGGGGUUCAAAUCCCCUC